rnacentral:rRNA from 1 species
UCCUUUUGUAGAUAAUUUAAGGUCUAGCCUGCCCACUGAAAUUUUAAAUGGCCGUGGUAUUUUGACCGUGCUAAGGUAGCAUAAUCAUUAGUUUUUUAAUUAAAAACUGGAAUGAAAGGUUGGAUGAGAAAAUAGCUGUCUCUAUUAAAUUUAAUUAGAAUUUUAUUUUUAAGUUAAAAAGCUUAAUUAUUAUUAAAAGACGAGAAGACCCUAUAGAGUUUAAUUAUUUAGUAAAAAUUAUAUUUUAGUAUUAAUUUAUUUAUUUUAUUAAAUAAUUUAAUUGGGGUGAUUGAAAAAUUUAAUUAACUUUUUUUAUUUAAGAACAUUAAUUUAUGAAUAAAUGAUCCAAUAUUUUUGAUUAUAAGAUAAAAUUACCUUAGGGAUAACAGCGUAAUUUUUUUAGAAAGUUCAUAUUUAAAAAAAAGAUUGCGACCUCGAUGUUGGAUUAAAAUAAAUUUUUGGUGUAGAAGCUAAAAUAUUAGGUCUGUUCGACCUUUAAAAUUUUACAUGAU